rnacentral:rRNA from 1 species
GAUGAACGCUGGCGGCGUGCCUAAUACAUGCAAGUCGAGCGAACAGACGAGUAGGUUGCUCCACGGACGUUAGAGGCGGACGGGUGAGUAACACGUGGAUAACCUCCCUAGAAGACUGGGAUAAAUUCGGGAAACCGGAGCUAAUACCGGAUAAUAUAUUGAACCGCAUGGUUCAAUAGUGAAAGACGGUUUUGCUGUCACUUAUAGAUGGAUCCGCGCCGCAUUAGCUAGUUGGUAAGGUAACGGCUUACCAAGGCAACGAUGCGUAGCAGACCUGAGAGGGUGAUCGGCCACACUGGAACUGAGACACGGUCCAGACUCCUACGGGAGGCAGCAGUAGGGAAUCUUCGGCAAUGGGCGAAAGCCUGACGGAGCCACGCCGCGUGAGUGAUGAAGGUCUUCGGAUCGUAAACCGCUGUUAUUAGGGAAGAACAAAUGUGUAAGUAACUAUGCACGUCUUGACGGUACCGAAUCAGAAAGCCACGGCUAACUACGUG